rnacentral:lncRNA from 1 species
AUAUUACAGUAUUUAGGACUUUCAAACUGUUCCCUUUGUUCUGAAGAUAGCGAAGCAAGCAACCGUAGUUUCAUUUGUUUUCGUCUUUGCAAUUUUUUUUUCUAAUGGAGAUAUUUGAAUUUUAUUUUUAUUUUUAACGGACUCAGACAUUUCCCAACCUUAAUACAAUCAUUAAUGAUUUUAUCCAUGCUAUGUGCGACAAGGAGGGAACUUUGACAUGUUUUGUGAAAAUAGCAGCGUUGGAUCUAAACCUGUUAUAAUUCUUUUAUUCAUUAGAUAAAUGUAAUCUCCUUUUGUAUAUGAAGCUAGGCAGUUGUUUUUUUGUUGUUGUUGUUAUUUUAUAUUGUUUAACACGAUGUACGUUUAUAUAUAAACAUGGCAGUGUACCAAUACCUAUUAACCGCUGACCAACGGAAACAACAUAAACGCGAUAUUGCUCUGUUACACGCCGGAUCGCUACAGCUAUCUACCGAAACCAGAAGGUAUGUCAGGC